GAGGAGUCUCUGAAAACCUAUUUAAAGCAGUCUGUCCUGACUCAGCUCAGCAGUCUCCAGUCUACCAACUGGUCUCUGUAACUUCAUCUUUGUCUCUGUGGUGUACAGUCUUCAGGUGAUGAUGGGGGUAUUGAAUCAUCUCUCUACUCUCCUCCUCCUCUCUCUCCUUCCUCCUGCUCUCUCUCGUGUAGUGGAGAGGUUCAGUGAUGUUCCACAGUGUAAGACGUUCUUCCUGGAGGGGACAACUCCAAAUCUCCCAGGUAUUUUGGUUGAUGGGAAAGUCCAGGACCAGAACCGCUACAAGCCGAUCUGCCAGUUGUUUAAACACAUGAAGAAAAAGGUUGUUGCCGAAACCUACAUGUUUGCAACUCUCACGACACGACCAACAUGAUCCCUGUGUUCUCAGCCUCCACCUUCACUGGGGUCGGACCGAGAGAGAAAAGACCAGAUACAUGGAUGAUUGAACCUCAGGUAAUUCAAACAUCUUUUCAAAUCUACAUUUAAUGCCAAGUUAGAACAACAACCUUCAAUAGACAAUUACUACUGUCUGUCUAGCAAGAUACCAUGUCUGUUUCAUUCCUGAAAGGGAUAGUUUCUCAAAUAAAAAACAGAAAUACCUUAUUUACAUGAGUAUUCACACCCUGGUUUUGUUUGUAAUAUACAGGUCUAAUAUACAGGUCUAAUAUACAGGUCUAUUAUACAGGUCUAAUAUACAGGUCAGGUCUAAUAUACAGGUCUAAUAUACAGGUCUAUUAUACAGGUCUAAUAUACAGGUCUAAUAUACAGGUCUAAUAUACAGGUCUAAUAUACAGGUCAGGUCUAAUAUACAGGUCUAAUAUACAGGUCUAUUAUACAGGUCUAAUAUACAGGUCUAAUAUACAGGUCUAUUAUACAGGUCUAAUAUACAGGUCAGGUCUAAUAUACAGGUCUAAUAUACAGGUCUAUUAUACAGGUCUAAUAUACAGGUCUAAUAUACAGGUCUAUUAUACAGGUCUAAUAUACAGGUCAGGUCUAAUAUACAGGUCUAAUAUACAGGUCAGGUCUAAUAUACAGGUCUAAUAUACAGGUCUAAUAUACAGGUCUAAUAUACAGGUCUAUUAUACAGGUCUAAUAUACAGGUCUAAUAUACAGGUCUAUUAUACAGGUCUAAUAUACAGGUCAGGUCUAAUAUACAGGUCUAAUAUACAGGUCAGGUCUAAUAUACAGGUCUAAUAUACAGGUCUAAUAUACAGGUCUAAUAUACAGGUCUAAUAUACAGGUCUAUUAUACAGGUCUAAUAUACAGGUCUAAUAUACAGGUCUAUUAUACAGGUCUAAUAUACAGGUCAGGUCUAAUAUACAGGUCUAAUAUACAGGUCUAUUAUACAGGUCUAAUAUACAGGUCUAAUAUACAGGUCUAAUAUACAGGUCUAAUAUACAGGUCAGGUCUAAUAUACAGGUCUAAUAUACAGGUCUAUUAUACAGGUCUAAUAUACAGGUCUAAUAUACAGGUCUAUUAUACAGGUCUAAUAUACAGGUCAGGUCUAAUAUACAGGUCUAAUAUACAGGUCAGGUCUAAUAUACAGGUCUAAUAUACAGGUCUAUUAUACAGGUCUAAUAUACAGGUCUAUUAUACAGGUCUAAUAUACAGGUCUAAUAUACAGGUCUAAUAUACAGGUCUAAUAUACAGGUCAGGUCUAAUAUACAGGUCUAAUAUACAGGUCAGGUCUAAUAUACAGGUCUAAUAUACAGGUCUAUUAUACAGGUCUAAUAUACAGGUCUAUUAUACAGGUCUAAUAUACAGGUCUAAUAUACAGGUCUAAUAUACAGGUCAGGUCUAAUAUACAGGUCUAAUAUACAGGUCAGGUCUAAUAUACAGGUCUAAUAUACAGGUCUAAUAUACAGGUCUAAUAUACAGGUCUAAUAUACAGGUCUAUUAUACAGGUCUAAUAUACAGGUCUAAUAUACAGGUCUAAUAUACAGGUCUAAUAUACAGGUCUAAUAUACAGGUCUAAUAUACAGGUCUAUUAUACAGGUCUAAUAUACAGGUCUAAUAUACAGGUCUAUUAUACAGGUCUAAUAUACAGGUCAGGUCUAAUAUACAGGUCUAAUAUACAGGUCAGGUCUAAUAUACAGGUCUAAUAUACAGGUCUAUUAUACAGGUCUAAUAUACAGGUCUAUUAUACAGGUCUAAUAUACAGGUCUAAUAUACAGGUCUAAUAUACAGGUCUAAUAUACAGGUCUAUUAUACAGGUCUAAUAUACAGGUCUAUUAUACAGGUCUAAUAUACAGGUCUAAUAUACAGGUCUAAUAUACAGGUCUAAUAUACAGGUCUAUUAUACAGGUCUAAUAUACAGGUCUAUUAUACAGGUCUAAUAUACAGGUCUAAUAUACAGGUCUAAUAUACAGGUCUAUUAUACAGGUCUAAUAUACAGGUCUAAUAUACAGGUCUAAUAUACAGGUCUAAUAUACAGGUCUAAUAUACAGGUCUAUUAUACAGGUCUAAUAUACAGGUCUAAUAUACAGGUCUAAUAUACAGGUCUAAUAUACAGGUCUAAUAUACAGGUCUAAUAUACAGGUCUAUUAUACAGGUCUAAUAUACAGGUCUAAUAUACAGGUCUAUUAUACAGGUCUAAUAUACAGGUCUAAUAUACAGGUCAGGUCUAAUAUACAGGUCUAAUAUACAGGUCUAAUAUACAGGUCUAAUAUACAGGUCUAUUAUACAGGUCUAUUAUACAGGUCUAAUAUACAGGUCUAAUAUACAGGUCUAAUAUACAGGUCUAAUAUACAGGUCUAAUAUACAGGUCUAAUAUACAGGUCUAUUAUACAGGUCUAAUAUACAGGUCUAAUAUACAGGUCUAAUAUACAGGUCUAAUAUACAGGUCUAAUAUACAGGUCUAAUAUACAGGUCUAAUAUACAGGUCUAAUAUACAGGUCUAUUAUACAGGUCUAAUAUACAGGUCUAAUAUACAGGUCUAAUAUACAGGUCUAAUAUACAGGUCUAAUAUACAGGUCUAAUAUACAGGUCUAAUAUACAGGUCUGAUAUACAGGUCUAAUAUACAGGUCUAAUAUACAGGUCUAUUAUACAGGUCUGAUAUACAGGUCUAAUAUACAGGUCUAAUAUACAGGUCUAAUAUACAGGUCUAAUAUACAGGUCUAAUAUACAGGUCUAAUAUACAGGUCAGGUCUAAUAUACAGGUCUAUUAUACAGGUCUAAUAUACAGGUCUAAUAUACAGGUCAGGUCUAAUAUACAGGUCUAUUAUACAGGUCUAAUAUACAGGUCUAAUAUACAGGUCAGGUCUAAUAUACAGGUCUAAUAUACAGGUCUAAUAUACAGGUCUAUUAUACAGGUCAGGUCUAAUAUACAGGUCUGAUAUACAGGUCUAAUAUACAGGUCUAAUAUACAGGUCUAUUAUACAGGUCAGGUCUAAUAUACAGGUCUAAUAUACAGGUCUAAUAUACAGGUCUGAUAUACAGGUCUAAUAUACAGGUCUAUUAUACAGGUCUAUUAUACAGGUCUAAUAUACAGGUCUAUUAUACAGGUCAGGUCUAAUAUACAGGUCUAAUAUACAGGUCUGAUAUACAGGUCUAAUAUACAGGUCUGAUAUACAGGUCAGGUCUAAUAUACAGGUCUAAUAUACAGGUCUAAUAUACAGGUAUAAUAUACAAGUCUAAUAUACAGGUAUAAUAUACAAGUCUAAUAUACAGGUCUGAUAUACAGGUCUAAUAUACAGGUCUGAUAUACAGGUCUAUUAUACAGGUCUAAUAUACAGGUCUAAUAUACAGGUCUGAUAUACAAGUCAGGUCUAAUAUACAGUUCUAAUAUACAGGUCUAAUAUACAGGUCUAAUAUACAGGUCUAAUAUACAGGUCUAUUAUACAGGUCUAAUAUACAGGUCUAAUAUACAGGUCAGGUCUAAUAUACAGGUCUAAUAUACAGGUCAGGUCUAAUAUACAGGUCUAAUAUACAGGUCUAAUAUACAGGUCUAAUAUACAGGUCUAAUAUACAGGUCUAAUAUACAGGUCUAAUAUACAGGUCUAAUAUACAGGUCUAAUAUACAGGUCUAUUAUACAGGUCUAAUAUACAGGUCUAAUAUACAGGUCUAAUAUACAGGUCUAAUAUACAGGUCUAAUAUACAGGUCUAAUAUACAGGUCUAAUAUACAGGUCUAAUAUACAGGUCUAAUAUACAGGUCUAAUAUACAGGUCUAAUAUACAGGUCUAAUAUACAGGUCUAAUAUUCAGGUCUAAUAUACAGGUCUAAUAUACAGGUCAGGUCUAAUAUACAGGUCUAAUAUACAGGUCUAAUAUACAGGUCAGGUCUAAUAUACAGGUCUAUUAUACAGGUCUAAUAUACAGGUCUAAUAUACAGGUCUAAUAUACAGGUCUAAUAUACAGGUCUAAUAUUCAGGUCUAAUAUACAGGUCUAAUAUACAGGUCUAAUAUACAGGUCUGAUAUACAGGUCUAAUAUACAGGUCUAAUAUACAGGUCUAAUAUUCAGGUCUAAUAUACAGGUCUAAUAUACAGGUCAGGUCUAAUAUACAGGUCUAAUAUACAGGUCUAAUAUACAGGUCUAAUAUACAGGUCUAAUAUUCAGGUCUAAUAUACAGGUCUAAUAUACAGGUCUAAUAUACAGGUCUAAUAUACAGGUCUAAUAUACAGGUCUAAUAUACAGGUCUAAUAUACAGGUCUAAUAUACAGGUCUAAUAUACAGGUCUAAUAUUCAGGUCUAAUAUACAGGUCUAAUAUACAGGUCAGGUCUAAUAUACAGGUCUAAUAUACAGGUCUAAUAUACAGGUCUAAUAUUCAGGUCUAAUAUACAGGUCUAAUAUACAGGUCUAAUAUACAGGUCUAAUAUUCAGGUCUAAUAUACAGGUCUAAUAUACAGGACAGGUCUAAUAUACAGGUCUAAUAUACAGGUCUAAUAUUCAGGUCUAAUAUACAGGUCUAAUAUACAGGUCUAAUAUACAGGUCUAAUAUACAGGUCUAAUAUACAGGUCUAAUAUACAGGUCAGGUCUAAUAUACAGGUCUAAUAUACAGGUCAGGUCUAAUAUACAGGUCUAAUAUACAGGUCUAAUAUACAGGUCUAAUAUACAGGUCUAUUAUACAGGUCUAAUAUACAGGUCUAAUAUACAGGUCUAAUAUACAGGUCUAUUAUACAGGUCUAAUAUACAGGUCUAAUAUACAGGUCUAUUAUACAGGUCUAAUAUACAGGUCUAUUAUACAGGUCUAAUAUACAGGUCUAAUAUACAGGUCUAAUAUACAGGUCUAAUAUACAGGUCUAUUAUACAGGUCUAAUAUACAGGUCUAUUAUACAGGUCUAAUAUACAGGUCUAAUAUACAGGUCUAAUAUACAGGUCAGGUCUAAUAUACAGGUCUAAUAUACAGGUCAGGUCUAAUAUACAGGUCUAAUAUACAGGUCAGGUCUAAUAUACAGGUCUAAUAUACAGGUCAGGUCUAAUAUACAGGUCUAAUAUACAGGUCAGGUCUAAUAUACAGGUUUGAUAUACAGGUUGAAUUUACAGGUCAGUUCAGUGAAUAAUGAUGAAUAUUGUUCCUACAGCUGGACGGAGGAGUAGAA